AUUGAACGCUGGCGGCAUGCUUUACACAUGCAAGUCGAACGGCAGCGCGGGCUUCGGCCUGGCGGCGAGUGGCGAACGGGUGAGUAAUACAUCGGAACGUGCCCAGUAGUGGGGGAUAGCUCGGCGAAAGCCGGAUUAAUACCGCAUACGACCUGAGGGUGAAAGCGGGGGAUCUUCGGACCUCGCGCUAUUGGAGCGGCCGAUGGCAGAUUAGCUAGUUGGUGGGGUAAAGGCCUACCAAGGCGACGAUCUGUAGCUGGUCUGAGAGGACGACCAGCCACACUGGGACUGAGACACGGCCCAGACUCCUACGGGAGGCAGCAGUGGGGAAUUUUGGACAAUGGGCGAAAGCCUGAUCCAGCAAUGCCGCGUGUGUGAUGAAGGCCUUCGGGUUGUAAAGCACUUUUGGCGGGAACGAAAAGGACUGUGCCAAUACCACGGUU
rnacentral:rRNA from 1 species